UACAGAGGGUGCAAGCGUUGUUCGGAAUUAUUGGGCGUAAAGCGCGUGUAGGCGGCCGUGCAAGUCGGGUGUGAAAUCCCCCGGGCUCAACCCGGGAACUGCGUCCGAUACUGGCAGGCUUGAAUCCGGGAGAGGGAUGCGGAAUUCCAGGUGUAGCGGUGAAAUGCGUAGAUAUCUGGAGGAACACCGGUGGCGAAGGCGGCAUCCUGGACCGGUAUUGACGCUGAGGCGCGAAAGCCAGGGGAGCAAACGGGG
rnacentral:rRNA from 1 species